rnacentral:rRNA from 1 species
AGUCGAGGGGCAGCAUGAUUUGUAGCAAUACAGAUUGAUGGCGACCGGCGCACGGGUGAGUAACGCGUAUGCAACUUACCUAUCAGAGGGGGAUAGCCCGGCGAAAGUCGGAUUAAUACCCCAUAAAACAGGGGUCCCGCAUGGGAAUAUUUGUUAAAGAUUCAUCGCUGAUAGAUAGGCAUGCGUUCCAUUAGGCAGUUGGCGGGGUAACGGCCCACCAAACCGACGAUGGAUAGGGGUUCUGAGAGGAAGGUCCCCCACAUUGGUACUGAGACACGGACCAAACUCCUACGGGAGGCAGCAGUGAGGAAUAUUGGUCAAUGGCCGAGAGGCUGAACCAGCCAAGUCGCGUGAAGGAAGAAGGAUCUAUGGUUUGUAAACUUCUUUUAUAGGGGAAUAAAGUGGAGGACGUGUCCUUUUUUGUAUGUACCCUAUGAAUAAGCAUCGGCUAACUCCGUGCCAGCAGCCGCGGUAAUACGGAGGAUGCGAGCGUUAUCCGGAUUUAUUGGGUUUAAAGGGUGCGUAGGUGGUGAUUUAAGUCAGCGGUGAAAGUUUGUGGCUCAACCAUAAAAUUGCCGUUGAAACUGGGUUACUUGAGUGUGUU